rnacentral:rRNA from 1 species
UACGGAGGGGGCGAGCGUUGUCCGAAGUUACUGGGCGUAAAGCGCGUGUAGGCGGGUUGCCAAGUCCGCUGUGAAAGCCCGAGGCUCAACCUCGGAGGGUCGGUGGAUACUGGCAAUCUUGAAGGUGCUAGGGGGAGAUGGAAUUACCGGUGUAGCGGUGAAAUGCGUAGAGAUCGGAAGGAACGUCAAUGGCGAAGGCAGCUGUCUGGACUGAUACUGACACUGAGGCGCGAAAGCGUGGGGAGCAAACAGG